GAACUCGUCAACUUCCUGUCGGUACUUGAAGAAGCGGAGCCAGGGCUGAGAUCCCGAAGGCGGGCGAGGCCGCAGUUCGGGGGCCACGCCCCGGCGUGCUCGGGUCACCGCGGGAAGCCCUUGAACCCCCUGGCGCCCGGCACCCACGUGCGGUAACCGCGGCUCCUCGAGAGCUCCAGGGAUGCGGAUCUACAGUAAGGGCUGUGGCCAGAUGAAUGAAUGCACAUUUUUUAGUGGGCAGAAAGAUGUUAGAAUUCAUGAAUUAGAAUAAGCACAAAGGAGGGCGAGAGGGGAGGCCGUGGAAGCCGCAUUCCUCCCCUUGCCUUGGGCGCCCACCCCCGAAGGGGCGCGUCCCCUCCCUGCUCCACUGCACGUGGGUGUUUAACCAGGGGAUAUCCAGUGCCUCAAGCACCACGACCCGGGAGAAAACUGAGUUGAGAAGGCCUUGGGGAUGAAGGUGAGAAAUUCGAGAAUCCCCGGAGAUAACACAUCAGCAAAUAGUGCGCAGGCAGAACAAGCUGUUGGAGGUGAGAGACACAGAGCAGAGAAGCACCCGCACCUGGAGAGUCAGGAGGGCCUCACAUCAGAACGCCUGAGCAAAUACAGUUUUGAAGGAUACUAAUUUUUUAAAAAGUUCAUUCACAUGAGUUAGACAAAGAGAAAGAAGCAGGACAUUCUAGGAAGAAGGAACGGCCCAGGCAAAAGCGACGCGUACAUUGGCGUGGGUCCAUUCAAGAAUUGUGCCCACAAUAUACCAGGCACUUGUCCAGACCUGCAUCGUCCAAUGCCCACCUCGACCUCCCAAAGUGUUGGGAUUAGAGGCGUGAGCCACCGCGCCCUGCCUGCAUGUGGCUAUUGAGAUGUGCUGUAUGAUACACACCGGACUUUGAAGACUCAGUGUGAAAAAUAAAAAGAAUUUUAAGAGGGGUGGGGGUCGAGGGGAGGCAGAGCAGUAGGACAAAUAGCUAAUGCACGCAGGGCUUAAAACCUAGACAACAGGUUGAUGGGUGCAGCAAACCACCAUGACACAUGUUUAUCUAUAUAGCACCUACAUGUUCUGCACUUGUAUCCUGGAACUUAAAAUUAGAAAAAAAAAAUAAUAAAAGCCAACAUGGCAUUCAUUACUGCCAA
rnacentral:lncRNA from 1 species